UGAAAUUUAAGCUAGGAAAAAACCCCCCUUGAAAUUCCAUAUAAAUCCGUUGUCCGUUCUUGCUUGGAAUAUGCGGAUGUUGUGUGGGAUGGGUGUUGUGAUGCUGAUCGUGACCUUCUCGAAAGCUUGCAAUUUGAGGCAGCCAGGCUCGUAACGGGGGCAUUGAAAGGUACUCAUAGGGAAAGCCUUCUUAAUGAAACAGGUUGGUCUACUUUAAAAGCCAGACGUAAUGCUCAUAAGUUAUUUAUGAUGUACAAAAUUGUAAAUAAUCUGACCCCUCCGUAUCUGUCAGAAUUGCGUCCUGAUAAUGUUAGUUCUAGAUCAAAUCGUAGUUUACGUGCCAAUGAUAAUCUGAUUGUCCCUUUCGCUAGAACCGAACGUUACAAAAAGUCAUUUUAUAUUUCCUCUGUGAAUCUUUGGAAUAGUCUUUCAGCGACUAUUCGUUCUAGUCGUUCAAUUGCCAUUUUUAAAAACAGUGUGACUCGGCUACACAAGUUCGUAGCUCCCAAUCUGCUAUAUUAUAUAGGUGAUCGUUUACCA